AUUCCGCGUGAGUGAAGAAGGCCUUCGGGUUGUAAAGCUCUUUCAGCCGGAAAGAAACGGUACGCUCUAACAUAGCGUGCUAAUGACGGUACCGGCAGAAGAAGCACCGGCUAACUACGUGCCAGCAGCCGCGGUAAUACGUAGGGUGCGAGCGUUAAUCGGAAUUACUGGGCGUAAAGCGUGCGCAGGCGGAUUAUUAAGCAAGACGUGAAAGCCCCGGGCUUAACCUGGGAAUGGCGUUUUGAACUGGUAGUCUAGAGUGUGUCAGAGGGGGGUGGAAUUCCACGUGUAGCAGUGAAAUGCGUAGAUAUGUGGAGGAACACCAAUGGCGAAGGCAGCCCCCUGGGAUAACACUGACGCUCAUGUACGAAAGCGUGGGUAGCAAACAGGAUUAGAUACCCUGGUAGUCCACGCCCUAAACGAUGUCAACUGGUUGUUGGGGGAGUGAAAUCCCUUAGUAACGAAGCUAACGCGUGAAGUUGACCGCCUGGGGAGUACGGUCGCAAGAUUAAAACUCAAAUGAAUUGACGGA
rnacentral:rRNA from 1 species